GAUGAACGCUGGUUGCGUGCCUAAUACAUGCAAGUCGAGCGAACGGACGAGAAGCUUGCUUCUCUGAUGUUAGCGGCGGACGGGUGAGUAACACGUGGAUAACCUACCUAUAAGACUGGGAUAACUUCGGGAAACCGGAGCUAAUACCGGAUAAUAUUUUGAACCGCAUGGUUCAAAAGUGAAAGACGGUCUUGCUGUCACUUAUAGAUGGAUCCGCGCUGCAUUAGCUAGUUGGUAAGGUAACGGCUUACCAAGGCAACGAUGCAUAGCCGACCUGAGAGGGUGAUCGGCCACACUGGAACUGAGACACGGUCCAGACUCCUACGGGAGGCAGCAGUAGGGAAUCUUCCGCAAUGGGCGAAAGCCUGACGGAGCAACGCCGCGUGAGUGAUGAAGGUCUUCGGAUCGUAAAACUCUGUUAUUAGGGAAGAACAUAUGUGUAAGUAACUGUGCACAUCUUGACGGUACCUAAUCAGAAAGCCACGGCUAACUACGUGCCAGCAGCCGCGGUAAUACGUAGGUGGCAAGCGUUAUCCGGAAUUAUUGGGCGUAAAGCGCGCGUAGGCGGUUUUUUAAGUCUGAUGUGAAAGCCCACGGCUCAACCGUGGAGGGUCAUUGGAAACUGGAAAACUUGAGUGCAGAAGAGGAAAGUGGAAUUCCAUGUGUAGCGGUGAAAUGCGCAGAGAUAUGGAGGAACACCAGUGGCGAAGGCGACUUUCUGGUCUGUAACUGACGCUGAUGUGCGAAAGCGUGGGGAUCAAACAGGAUUAGAUACCCUGGUAGUCCACGCCGUAAACGAUGAGUGCUAAGUGUUAGGGGGUUUCCGCCCCUUAGUGCUGCAGCUAACGCAUUAAGCACUCCGCCUGGGGAGUACGACCGCAAGGUUGAAACUCAAAGGAAUUGACGGGGACCCGCACAAGCGGUGGAGCAUGUGGUUUAAUUCGAAGCAACGCGAAGAACCUUACCAAAUCUUGACAUCCUUUGACAACUCUAGAGAUAGAGCCUUCCCCUUCGGGGGACAAAGUGACAGGUGGUGCAUGGUUGUCGUCAGCUCGUGUCGUGAGAUGUUGGGUUAAGUCCCGCAACGAGCGCAACCCUUAAGCUUAGUUGCCAUCAUUAAGUUGGGCACUCUAAGUUGACUGCCGGUGACAAACCGGAGGAAGGUGGGGAUGACGUCAAAUCAUCAUGCCCCUUAUGAUUUGGGCUACACACGUGCUACAAUGGACAAUACAAAGGGCAGCGAAACCGCGAGGUCAAGCAAAUCCCAUAAAGUUGUUCUCAGUUCGGAUUGUAGUCUGCAACUCGACUACAUGAAGCUGGAAUCGCUAGUAAUCGUAGAUCAGCAUGCUACGGUGAAUACGUUCCCGGGUCU
rnacentral:rRNA from 1 species